rnacentral:lncRNA from 1 species
AACAACUCCGCUGACUUCCUUGCUAAGAAGGCUUGUAGAGAGGGAUCGCCUCACCGGAUCUGGGGUCAACCACCUCCUGAUUUAUCUGCGUCCUUGUAUUUAGACGCUAGUCGCUAGUUUCGUUUGCGUGUUUAAUUUUCCUACUGUAACAAAAAAAAAAAAAAGUACCAAUGAAGCACAAUUUAUAAUCUACCAAAACAAAAGAAGCACAAGCUUAUAGAAAGUCAUGUUACUGUAUAAAAAAAUAGAAAGUCAUGUUAAGCUUAAAAUAAUAUCAAUCAUGAGAUUCAAAUAUCUAACCAAUAUAGACAUCUCAUGUACACCAUAAUUUUCCAUCCAUCUCUCUUUGUUUCACGUCACAUCAUAUAGGAGGAAUCAUGAAAGUAAUACUAUCACUUCCGAAGUCCGAUUCUACGACCCGUGUAGUAACUCUUUGACC